rnacentral:lncRNA from 1 species
AAUUGUACUUCUUCAUUUUGUUUCACUUGCUUUUGUUCUACGGAUAAUAUUUUCCUUAAUUCUUCUUUUCUUAAAUAAUUGAUCUUAAAUAUAAAAAAUGAUCACUCUUAAAAACUUCAUGAUCCUCAAUUUUUACUCCACCUUAUUCCUAUUCCUAAGUUCAUUAAAAUUGCAUUCCAUGUAUUAUAUAUUUGUAUCUUAGGCUAAAAACUUAGAUUCUAAUUCACUCCUCCAUAUUUCUAACUUACGUUUAUCCCC